AACUUACAGGAACUAAGCCGGGAAGUGGUGGCACACACCUUUAAUCCCAGCACUUGGGAAGCAGAGACAGGAGGAUUUCUG
rnacentral:miRNA from 1 species